GUCAUUCCCACAAAAGCAAAAGAGGAGACGGAGUGACCAUCGCCCUUGGUCUAGUCAUCACCCAUGGCAGGGUACAGACAGAGGAUGCAAUAACCAUAGUACAUUUGACCAUCUGCAAAACAACAUGGGAGUAGAACCCUGAGUACGAGAAGGUACUCAGCUAGACUUACCCAUCAUAAACUUAAAAUAAAGACUCAUCGAGGAUUAUG
rnacentral:lncRNA from 1 species